GACGAACGCUGGCGGCGUGCUUAACACAUGCAAGUCGAACGGAAAGGCCCUGCUUUUGUGGGGUGCUCGAGUGGCGAACGGGUGAGUAACACGUGAGUAACCUGCCCUUGACUUUGGGAUAACUUCAGGAAACUGGGGCUAAUACCGGAUAGGAGCUCCUGCUGCAUGGUGGGGGUUGGAAAGUUUCGGCGGUUGGGGAUGGACUCGCGGCUUAUCAGCUUGUUGGUGGGGUAGUGGCUUACCAAGGCUUUGACGGGUAGCCGGCCUGAGAGGGUGACCGGCCACAUUGGGACUGAGAUACGGCCCAGACUCCUACGGGAGGCAGCAGUGGGGAAUAUUGCACAAUGGGCGGAAGCCUGAUGCAGCAACGCCGCGUGCGGGAUGACGGCCUUCGGGUUGUAAACCGCUUUCGCCUGUGACGAGGCGUGAGUGACGGUAACGGGUAAAGAAGCACCGGCUAACUACGUG
rnacentral:rRNA from 1 species